rnacentral:misc_RNA from 1 species
AUCACUGUGAAAAUGAGGGAAGUAGGUCUGUACGUUCUUUUUCUUGUUUUGGGACAUAUCCAGGCCGAGCAGAAUGAUUCCUGUCGAUUUAGGACUCUCGCCCCGUCACACAAUCAAAGCAGCAUUUCGCCUAUUCUGGAGAAACAUGAGUCCGCCCUUCUGAUGAUCCUAGGCUUCGCCGGGUUUUCUAUUGUUUUGGCGAUCAUACACAAUUCUAUCAGGAAAUACAUCUACAAAGACGCCCAUAGCUUGGACACGGUGUUUGACGCUGGCGGAAAAGUCACGCUCAGUUUGACGGCAGUCACCGUGACGUCACAACUAUUAUGGCCGGCCGAUUUCCUACAGAUUACCACUAUUACUAUUACUAGUGGCAUAGGAGGGUGUCUCUUCUUUGUCCUAGGAAUCGUUCUCGAUAUUCUCCUGUUUCCAAUAUUGUCUGUUGAACUGAAAACCAAGGCUCCUGGUGCCAAGACAUUUCUUCAGAUAAUCUAUACGAGAUAUGGAAAACCAGCACAUGUUGUCUUCUGCUGUAUCGCUCUUUUCGCCAACAUCGUUACAAUCACAGCCCUUCUGGUGGCGGGAAAGUCGGCCAUUAGUGUCCUCACAAAGGACGCAUCAGACGAGUUCAUUGCGUUUGUCUUGGCGGUACUAUUUGGAUCUUACUGUUUUCUUGGGGGUCUGGGAACAACUUUUUAUAUUUCGUACUUUAACACCGCCAUCACUUUUGUGGGAUUGAUCGCCAUUGUAGUUAGCAUUGCAUACACUGAUAACAUUAAUGAGAGCAUGUCCAAAUAUGUGUCUAUAGACGCCAUGUAUGACGCUAUGUCCUGUAUAAAAUCAACCGAAGGGAACUACGAGGAUUCUUUGCUGACCUUCCGGACAAGAUCUGGUGCUAUUUACGGGUUAUCUCUUUUCUUCAUGGCGACCUCACUCAGCUUUAUUGACCAAGCUAACUGGCAGAGUAGAAUUGCUGCCAAACCCGUUCAAGGUGUAAUCGGUUUCUUUAUAGCAGCCAUCAUGUUCUUUUGUCUCCCAGCAACCAUUGCACUUCCGGCAACACUGACGUAUGCUUCGAUGGCUUAUGAGAAUGGAACGCAUCUUCUGUCCCAAAAUGAAAUUGUGAAUGGUAAACAGAUAAAUGUAAACUUUCAUUUCAUACUACACUGAAAAUUAAAACUUUGCAAUUUAAUGUAAUUUACAAUGUCAUUUGAUGAUUACACAGGUUUCAUUACACCAUUUGUGUUGGAAAAAAUCAUGGGGUCAACUGGAGCCUAUCUUCUUAUCACCUCCAUAACAAUGGCACUCAUGUCAACAGGAUCUGGAGAAGUAAUGGCAGUGUCAUCCAUCGUAGUAUAUGAUAUAUAUAAAGUCUAUAUAAACCCUUUCAGGCGUUUGCUCACACCUACUUCAUGUAUUUUGUGUGGACUUCAAAAGGUUGGUGGAAAACACGAAGUUUGCAGUUGCCCUACAUCAGCUGAGUGCAUUGACUGUUCAAAGGAUCUGAAGAGAAAAAGUAAAACAAGAGACUUUGCCGUGCAAUAUACGUGCCCAGUUCAUGGGGACUACCGCCAUUAUGAAGACCUUCUGAUGCAUCACAAAAGCUGGUGCAUUGUAUGGGUCACCAUUUCGGUGAUUCCAUAUGCAUUAGUUGUAUAUGCCAGCAAUAUCAACUUAACAUGGGUCAUAUUCUUCAUGCAAGGAACUAUCAGCCCAUUUGCAAUACCACUUCUGUUAGCGAUCAUUUGGUCCCGUUGCACUUCGCCUGGCGUUAUUACAGGCUGUGUGGUGGGACUGAUAGGUUGCAUAGCGGCUAACUUUGUCGUGACAGAAGUCGUAUAUGAAGGCGGACUAUCCAAUUUCUUCAUCAACACAAUUCAAGACUACAGUCUCCUUGCAGGGUGCGUAGCUGGAAUAUCCCUCAGCAGUGUGUGUACUAUAGUGACGUCAUUGCUCACAAACAAAAUCAAAACUGAGGAGGAUGUUGCUCACGAAUGGGAUAAGACGAUCUCGAUCAACAAUCCUCUAAAUCCAUGGCAACGCCUCUACGAAGAAGAGCUUGCUCAAUUUCCCCCUGGUACGAAGCCCACGGCUGCCAUCAUGGGUCAGAUAUUCCGUUCUGCUCGGAAUGUGGCAGUGUAUGGCGGUCUGAGUUUCGUCUUCCUUUUCCUGGUGGUUGUUCCCGCUGUAGUGUUGUCGUUUGGUGUUUUAACCCGGGAACAGUUCUCGUCCUAUCUGACUUUUAGUUAUGUCAUCUGUUUCCUUGCGGCAGUGUUUGUGGUCAUUGCUCCUCCGACCGAAGAAAUGUACCAGAUUGUCAAAACUUGGAAAAGCUCCAGAAACACUGAAAUCCAAAAAGAAAAGGUCCCUAAAACUGAACUUAGUAGACUCUAACUUAGCAUGAGAUCACAAUAGGUUUUUAUUAUUGUUGUUUUAGCUCAACGGAGCUAUUUCCUUAUCAUUCUUCUGACCAUAUAUAUGAAUGAUACCGGUUUAUAUACUGCAACUUUAUACUAAUCGAUGUAUCGAUGCUUUUAUUCAUCUAUCCAGGUUAAUUUCACUUCAAUGCUGCUUUACUGACUCCAGACGAGAAAUCGUAAAUAAAAUAUAUAUAUAUGCUGCCAUGU